CCUGACGAUUCCCACAGAAAGCUGGGGUCAAACCUCCACCUUCAGCCUCUAUAAGGAAACCUGCACAGAUGUUAUCCUACUGCCAUGGUUGGAUCUAAGUGGAACAGCAACGAGCAGAGAAACACUGGUGUUUCCAUACGUGGUGUGAAAGACUGAGCACACACUCCUCAACAUGAACCUGACUGAUUGUGAUGAUGCCUUCAUGAAACAGAAAGAGCUCCUCUUCCUCCCACCUGCCUUGUUGGACUUCCAGAUCCAGAUAUGCUUCCUCCUCCUCCCUAUCGUGCACGUUCACCACCCCUCCUGCUCAUCGCCAGAACUAAAAAUGCCCCUCCCCAUCUCUGCAACCACCAGCACUUUCUACGCAAGCCGAUUCAUUGAAGUCCAAAGAUUGCAGAGACGCUCCAUCCGAGACUUCAGUGCCUUACUUUUCCAACAACGCCCCCAAAACGACGUCCAAUGUGCUCUUUUACUGUGUACUUUAAGCCUCUGCACUGUUUUAUAAUAAAUGUUUCAUUUUCUGCAUCAAUCAGAUCAUGUGUCUCUAACUAUCUAACAAGUCCUUUUAUCUGCAUUUAUAAUUGUUAGUAAGUCCUUAAUAAACGGUUUUGAGUUA